rnacentral:rRNA from 1 species
UGGGGAAUAUUGCACAAUGGGCGCAAGCCUGAUGCAGCCAUGCCGCGUGUAUGAAGAAGGCCUUCGGGUUGUAAAGUACUUUCAGCGGGGAGGAAGGUGUUGUGGUUAAUAACCACAGAAAUUGACGUUACCCGCAGAAGAAGCACCGGCUAACUCCGUGCCAGCAGCCGCGGUAAUACGGAGGGUGCAGGCGUUAAUCGGAAUUACUGGGCGUAAAGCGCACGCAGGCGGUCUGUCAAGUCGGAUGUGAAAUCCCCGGGCUCAACCUGGGAACUGCAUUCGAAACUGGCAGGCUAGAGUCUUGUAGAGGGGGGUAGAAUUCCAGGUGUAGCGGUGAAAUGCGUAGAGAUCUGGAGGAAUACCGGUGGCGAAGGCGGCCCCCUGGACAAAGACUGACGCUCAGGUGCGAAAGCGUGGGGAGCAAACA